UUUUUGUAUGACGCGAACUAUAACGGUCGACUUUUACCUAUACACAAGUAUUAAGUUGCUUACCGUAGGAAGAGACGACCGAGUGUGUAU